rnacentral:rRNA from 1 species
UACGAGGGGUCCUAGCGUUGUUCGGAAUCAUUGGGCGUAAAGGGCGUGUAGGCGGUCAGGUAAGUGGGAUGUGAAAUGCCCCGGCUCACCCGGGGACCGGCAUCCCAUACUGCUUGGCUUGAGUACGGGAGAGGAUGUGGGAAUUCCUGGUGUAGCGGUGAAAUGCGUAGAUAUCAGGAGGAACACCGGUGGCGAAGGCGCACAUCUGGCCCGAUACUGACGCUGAGGCGCGAAAGCUAGGGGAGCAAACGGG